GCAAGUCGAGGGGUAACAUAAAGUGCUUGCACUUUGAUGACGACCGGCGCACGGGUGCGCAACGCGUAUAGAAUCUACCCUUUACUGGGGGAUAGCCCAGAGAAAUUUGGAUUAAUACCCCAUAGUAUGUUUUUAUGGCAUCAUAUGAACAUUAAAGGUUACGGUAAAGGAUGACUAUGCGUCCCAUUAGCUAGAUGGUAAGGUAACGGCUUACCAUGGCGACGAUGGGUAGGGGCCCUGAGAGGGGGAUC
rnacentral:rRNA from 1 species